ensembl:lncRNA
AGUCACUGCAGAUAAUAAGAAGAGGGCGUGGGCGAAAGUUGCCCAAUCAGUGUCCGCAGUAGGGGAGACGGAGCGCGAUGCGAUUGCAAUAAAAAAAAGAUGGGAAGACGUAAAAUCCCUCGUAAAGAAAAAAGCUGCUGAGAGGGCGAGGGAGACGAGUAAGACAGGAGGAGGGACGUCCUCUGUUAAACUCGACGCUUUGGAGGAGAAGAUUUUGGGUAUGAUAGGGGAAUCGCUGGUAGGAGGAGUUCAAGGAGGGGUGGACACUGGAGACCACAGCUGUAUGCAGCUGCUACAGCAGACACAAACGGAUGCUAUGGUGGACCUUGAUUUUCUUCCCACCCAAGCAGGAGUUGCAACAAUCCAAGUUAUUGUACCCGCUGAAUACAUUGUCCCCCCCCACAUUGAACUUGAAGUUCAACAAAAUAUUUCGGUCGUUAGGGGAUUCUCACACCGUGAGUGUUGAUUUGACCACACCCCCACAUUUCCGGCAAAGAAGCGCCAUCCAGAGAUGAUCCAGAACUUUCGGUAGCCAUCUAUAUAACCGCUGUGUUUCACUUUGACGAAUAAACUGAGGAGAGCCGGAGAGGGUGGGCACUGGGCACAGUCGAGGAAGGAGAGGACAGGUGGAGACAUGCUGGUUCCUGUCGAAUAUAAGGGGGUGAGCAAAUGGGUCAGGGUACCAAAGGUGGAGGAGGUCUUCAGUUUCUCUGAAUUUUUACAAGGAGUGCUGGCAAAAUUCAAUUUGUCAGGUUUUACUGCUUUGAUGCUCAAGGAUUCUGCAGGAGUUGAAGUGGAUUCUGACAUCUUUGAUGAGCUUUUGAAGUCAUCUCAGGUGUCUUUCAAGGCCUUCACUGAAGAUUGCAAUGACAACAGUGUUGGAGAGUCUUCAGAGGGCUCAUCCUUAUCUGAUUGGUCACCAUCACGUGCAUCCCAUGGGGCAUCAACAAUUACAGCUCAAAGAAAACGGCUGAUUGAAGGACCCCCUGACAGCAGCAGUGCUCGCGAUAUUGUCAAUGCAGCCCUGCAUUCAAAGCCGGACGGUGACCAAAUAAUCACAGAAUACGAGAAAACAAAG